UACGUAGGGUGCGAGCGUUAAUCGGAAUUACUGGCGUAAAGCGUGCGCAGGCGGUUUUGUAAGCCAGAUGUGAAAUCCCCGGGCUUAACCUGGGAAUGGCAUUUGGGACUGCAAGGCUCGAGUGCGGCAGAGGAGACUGGAAUUCCUGGUGUAGCAGUGGAAAUGCGUAGAUAUCAGGAGGAACACCGAUGGCGAAGGCAGGUCUCUGGG
rnacentral:rRNA from 1 species